rnacentral:rRNA from 1 species
ACGUGGGAAUCUACCCAUCAGUACGGAAUAACAUUUGGAAACAAAUGCUAAUACCGUAUAUUCUCUACGGAGGAAAGAUUUAUCGCUGAUGGAUGAGCCCGCGUAAGAUUAGGUAGUUGGUAGGGUAAUGGCCUACCAAGCCGACGAUCUUUAGCUGGUCUGAGAGGAUGAUCAGCCACACUGGGACUGAGACACGGCCCAGACUCCUACGGGAGGCAGCAGUGGGGAAUAUUGGACAAUGGGCGAAAGCCUGAUCCAGCAAUACCGCGUGAAUGAUGAAGGCCUUAGGGUUGUAAAGUU